CGUGUUAAAACUAAAAAAAUAAAGAAACUUGAAACGUCUUUUUCUUUUUUCACUUUCUCUCUUCACUUUCCAACCUAAACGUCUCUCUCUGCAAACUUACGCUCAGAAGGAGCUUUGUCGAAACCCUAAAAAUUUUCUUCUCUCUUGGAGAAGACGACCGGAGGCGGUGGCUCAUGGCGGAGCCUCCAUCCAUCUCCGGUAACCCUACCCAAAACGUGACCUAACCCACUACCUACAACCUCCCGAAUUCGAAUCCGGACUCUGAAAUUCCCAAACCAAACUCAAAGCGUUGCAUGUUGCGAUUUAAAAAUAAAAGGGGUUCGUUAUAUUUACCACGGCGAAGGAGGUGAGUGGUGGCUUCAGGCGAAAAAAGGAGCGCUUUGAUCUGAGUCCGUCGCCGGCAACCCGUCGCAGUUUCAGGUUACAGGAAUGAAGUGACUUUGAUGGAAUGGAAAAGUGAGCUGUAAUACAGCAAGGUUGGAGGUUGUAAUACAGCAAGGUUGGAGGCGCGCCCCAGUUCAAAGAGAUUUCAAUUUGAUUACCUGACUUUGGUCUUUAGGAUUUAUUUCCAUUUGUAGCAAAUUUCACUGUAAUUACCUUGGGUUUUUUUUAAGACAAAUAUGUGCUUGGAUUAUUUGGGACUUAUUGAAUUAAAUUUUAAUUAUGUAA